rnacentral:rRNA from 1 species
UACAGAGGGUGCAAGCGUUAAUCGGAAUUACUGGGCGUAAAGCGUGCGCAGUCGGUUAUUUAAGUCGGAUGUGAAAUCCCUGGGCUCAACCUGGGAAUUGCAUUCGAUACUGGAUGGCUAGAGUUCGGCAGAGGGAAGUGGAAUUUCAGGUGUAGCGGUGAAAUGCGUAGAUAUCUGAAGGAACAUCAGUGGCGAAAGCGACUUCCUGGACCAGAACUGACGAUCAGGCACGAAGGCGUGGGGAGCAAACAGG